AGGUUAGUACCUUCCUAUUUAAUAAUGUGCCAAGCGGAGGUAGUGAUCCAAGUUGAGGUACUGAACUCAAUCUUUCGUUCCGUACGUAUUUCUAUUUUUGUUGCUAACAUGUGUGUGCCAUUCAUAGAGUACACAUUGUUACAAAAAUUUGUCAAUGUAAGGGACAACAAGGAUAACAUGGAUGUGCUUUGCCAGUUUAUGUGUGUAGCCUCUAAUGUUAGUGUUAUUGUGAUAGUGACUAUAUAAGAGUACCUAGAGAUUGUUUGCAUAAAAGCUUCACAACUCCAGCGCUCUCUUAGUCGCUUCUCCACCUUGCUCUGAAGUAACGAUUUAGUUUCUUUAAAAAAAUGGAAAAUCAGCUGCUACGUACAUAAUAGGUAUCCGCAGGUAUCCGAUACGUAUCCGCGUAUCCGGCAGUAUCUGAUACGGAUACGUGAGUUUUCUGAAGUAUCCGUGCAACAUAAGGCAGUUCUUUUGAUUAGAGAAAAAAUAUGCUUUCAGAGGUCUGCUUAAUUUUUAUUUGUUAGUGGUAGUAUUUUAAUUUAACCAACUUACCGCCGAGUUAAUAAUAUUUGAAAAACUGUCAAAUACUUAUUUUGUUGGCUGCAGCUUUUAUAUGCACUCUUUGUAAGGUCUUCAGGAUAUCUUGCAUAUGCAGUUCAACCAGUCCUGUUCCUAUAAUUUGUGUAUCGUCAUAUUCGAGAAAUUUUACCAUGUGAUGUGAUGGUGUUACCUUAUUGCUAGCAUGGCAGGGAUUGCGAGGAGAGUUGCGCAGAGGAAGGGCGAGGGAGGACAUGCCAGGAUCUACAAGGUAAUGUUUUUUGUACAAUCAGACAAUUUAUAUGUGAUCUCUCUCCUCAGCUUAUUGUGACAUUUUUUUGUUUUACAACAAGCUAAUUUUCAAGAAUAACUAUUUUGUCUGAAUGUUUUGAUUUGCUCCAUCAUUUGAAAACAUUAGUUAAACUGGAUGGUGUUAGAUAUUGAUUAAGAAUAACUAGGUAUUUUUCAAGAGUAACUAGGUAAUUUUUUGUCUGAAUGUUUUGUUUUGCUCACACACCAACCAAGUCACGGAUGUUACUUCAGUAUGAAGAUUUUUUCAUAUCUCACCGUGUAUAUUUUCAGUUCAUACAUGUCUCCUAAAGCACCAUUAGAGAAAAAUCAUCAAAUUAAUUUUAUUAUUUCCGUUCAUGACUUCACGUAACAACAAUGUGCCCUAUUCGAUUAUUAAAUCUUCAUAGUGUAUAGGCCCUUGGCAUACUUUCCACAAGAGAAUAUCCCUUCAUUUUACUCAACAGGUAGUAUAGCACAGUUCCAACAUGUGUGAAGUGGUUAACGAGCAAGUCAUAUAGCCUAUCACAUGAGCUUCAGGAGAUGCUAUUCUUAAUCCUUGGCUAUGAAUUCAGUACAUGUACGUCUAUAUCCAAGGCAGUUUAAUGCUCCGAAUUCUCAAAUUAUCAAUACAUGUCUUUGAGUAUCGCUGCCAGAACAAUCGCUCAUAUUGCUUUUUUACUCUUCUAAUGCAAUUACUUAGUAAACAUCGGCAAUAAAAUUUCCUCCAUUGGCUGCUGGAUCGGAGCGGAUCUUUCCCAGUGUGUUGAUGGCCACAGCGGCAGAGUAUUUUUCUCUUCCCAAGGCAUGCGUGAGGACGAAGAGGCCAUGUUUGAUCCUGUGCGUGAUGAUUUCGGUUGUGAUCUGCUGCUGGCUGUGGGAUAUGCUUGGACAGUGGAUGUAUGGGGUCAAGGUGUUGUGUGCCUUGCCCGCAACAAACAGCAAGUGAGCCCGUGGGUGGUGGUUGAGAUGCGCAAGGCGUCGGUGCUGGAGCUCUGGACGAUGGCGCGGGCGUUGGGAUAGAGGCAGAUGGAGAUCUUCUCAGGCGACCCUGCAGCUGGGAGGAGGAAAAUCAGCACUAGCGAUCCAUGUGCCGAGGCUGAUGCUGGGGAGAGGGGGCGGCGCACGGAGGGGCAGGCAAAGGAGGUUCCGCCUCUGAGGAGCAGUGCUCGGCUUCUAGCAGCGCAAGUACCUGGCCUCAUCCACGUCUUCGCAGUCGCUGAAGACGACGGUACGUCCAUCCCUCAUCUGCCUUUUAUUUUUCAGGUUCUUCUUCUCUCUCUCUCUAUCAAAUGUGUUCUCCUAAAAAUUGAGAUACGAGUGGAGGUAGGCUCUUGUUAUCCCGAUCUAAUAAUUUGCUGCACUUUUGGCUGAGUCUAACCUUCAGUACCUGGUGAAUAGGCUCCUAUUGACAUCAUUUCUGGUGAGCUCCAUUGCCUGGUGGGGCGAGAGAUCUUUCUCACAUGAUAAGGCUGCGUCGAUCCCUGAUUUAUUCACAAAGUACAACGGAGCUGCCUCUUUCUCUACUAGAACUCGAUCCAUUUCGCAUAUAUGAAAUAAUCCAUUGAAAUGGCGUAUUGUUUUGUAAUCCAAAUGUGAAGAGGUAGCUCUCGGAGGUCCACGUUAAGGAAAUGACGGAGAAUUUCAGCUGGUCUUAUAAAAAGUGUGUAUGAACAAUUAACUCAUUUGGGAUGCUAACACCCAUUAACUCAUUACAUGGGGUGGUUUAAUAUCACAUUGUUUGAUUAUCUGAUGACUUCCAUUCGUGCUGCAAUUAAAUUCCUACAUUUAUGUUUCCAUUAUAUGCUCCUUCCAUUAAUUUCUCCUUAGAAAUCGGGUGUUCAGCAGGGAGUACAAUGCUGGUAGAUAUGACAGGACCUGAUGGAUGAUGACAUCAUCACGGCCAUCUCAGGCAUGUGGCAAACUCCCUCCUCACACUUGUGCAGAUGGGCCAAAGUUUUAUUCGUUAGGUGAGUGCCUGUCUUGAUAAGAUUUGUUUUUCUUGCCUUGUGAUUUCGAAGCCAAGAUUACAGUUUGGUAAUUCGUGGUUGUAGAAGACACGAAGAAACUAGAGUUGCUCUGCCACAUAGCUGGCCAAGCAGCAAUGCGUAGUUACAGCUAUUGGAAAUAGUACUGGUACUAUGGAGAUCCCAUGUUCCUCUCUCUCUCUCUCUCUGAUCCCAUUUUCUGAAUCAUCCAUGGUGUCAUAAUCAACGUUUUCUUGGUUUGUAGUUACAGGUUGCAAUGGGGAAUAAUUACAAUGGUUGAUGAUGAUUUAGAAGUGUUAGAUCAUAUUGACUAUAAUUGGAGUGGAAUUGGUUUUGAGUAAUUUAUUUUUGGUUAGGGAAUAUUGUCAGAUAAUAUUAAUUAAAGAAUUAUAGAAUUGUGCAGGGCCAGCUUUUAUCCCUUGAUGGUUCAGGGUUGAGCUAAUUGUCUUUGUUAUAUGGUUUAUUUCAGCUCACAUAAAGGAACAGAGUUUGCAUCUUCUAAUUUUAUGGAAAUCCCAGAGAAGAACUUAUGGCACGAUUUGUCUCCUUCACUUGUCUUGAGUUGAUCCAUUUCUUAAAAUCUACUCUGCCCUAUGUUCGCCCCCAACGGCAAAAUCUGGGGCUUCGCUCUCAAGGUUCAGGGAGGCGGUAACACGACAUGUAACCUGCAGGGCUGUACAAUUAGCAACAAAGCUGCCUUUUUCAGAGAUGGUGUUAAAUGAUUGAGGAAUCAGGUCUGAAACUACUAUGCUGAAUCAGUUGUUUUGCCAGGUCCAGAUAAGUAUCUAUCCAAUAAUAUUUAAUAUCACAUUUGAUAGUUCCAGAUUUUAGAAGAUCAUUUGGUGCAUAUGCCUCUAUGGAUUUGCCUGCUGGAAUUAUUAAUCGAGAAAAGUUGGUCAAUAAGUGGUAUUGUCACAUUUUGUCUAGAGAGACUGUUGAUCCAAGAAGGGAGAAGAGCAAUGAGAAUAUCGAGUUUGCACAUAACGUAAAACAAGAUUUUGGGAUCUUCGACAUAUUUUAUGAAUCAUUUAUGCUUGUUUAUUUUUUCUGGUAAUAGCACGCUUAAUGACUUAAUUUUAUUCAAUCUCAAAAUGUCUUCUUUCUUGCUUGGGAGUGUGCAGUUAAUAGUGAAAGAUCAUAUGAUAUGAAUAGUCUACAUAUUUCAUUAUUGCAUGCUCCCAUGGUAUAAUUCCCUGCUUGUUGUUGGUUCAUUUUAUUUAUAAGAACAACUGUAUAUAUGAUUCCUGUACGCACUUUUUGAUAUCUCAUGAUUUUGUUCCUGGUGGUGAUCAAUUACUAGAAUAUAUAAUAAGUUGUUUAUGUUAAUAGUUAGCACUUACUUGCUUUGUGAUCUUUGAAAACUUUUCUUGCCAGAAAUGAUGCCGCUUUUGUUGCUAUGCUAGAUUUUGGAUUUUUAUUUUGUUUUAACUAAUUAUAUCAUCGGACAUUCAGAUAAUGAUGGUAAGGUUUCAGGUAAUACACGUUAUACUUAUUAUCCUUAGAAAUUGACAUCCUGAUGUUGCUUGUGUAACUGGGUAUUGAGAUCUUUAUGAUAUUUUGUCACUUCAAGUUGAUGUCCAUGACCAGAACUAUAUUAGUAAAAACUAGGCCUAUUUCUUAUAUAUGUUUUAUGUGUGUAAAUGCCCCCUCAGUUCUUGUUUGUUCUGCAUACAUUUGUUUUGAUAUUGUUAAACGGACUAUUCAUGUGAUGUUGGUUUGUCGUACAUCUGCGGUGAGCAGUUAGUUCAGGUCACUAUACUUAAAUUUUUUAGUUCAGGCUAUUGCCUUUAAAAAGAUUAGCGGAUCCCACUCCGGCCCAUUUCCUGUAAAUUUUUGUAUUAGAUUGCCUAAUUUCACUUUCCAUAAUAUAUGCUCCUCUUUUUACGAUUAGACAAUAAUACUUGAAUUAUUAGGUAUUCUUGAUGUAUCCUUUCUUUUGACCUGUACUGUAUCCUGUUGUUAUGAGUUAUGACUUACUUCUGCUAUGUUAGGAGUGGAUAUUAGAGCAGUGUGUACAGGGAGGCUGAACUUGCUAGCCAGAGGAAUGAAGUAGACAGUUGCUUUUUAUUGUGCCAUUAUAUUUACAACAUAGGUCUAUAUUAUCUAUUGUGAGUAUCAAUGCCACUUCAUACUUUAGACAUUUACAGACAGAAAGCUUCAGCAGUAUGAGCAGCAUCGACAACUACUUGAUGGAAGCAUGGACCCGGCCAAGUGCCUCGGUUUAGGUGUUUAGAGAUGAGCUGGGAUUUGUGGCCGGUUAAGGUGCUGAUCAGUGCUGAUCAUAUGGAGCAUGUGUCUCCACACUGAAGCAAGGCCUGCCUACAAUCACCGUUUCAGGCUCAAAUCUGGUGGUAUUUCUGGCGUUCGAAACUGACUCACAACUUGUGGUGCAAGCGAUCAAGGGAAGCGAGCAAGACUUGGCUUGGAAUGGUGCUAUGUUUAGGCAGAUUAAAUUUCAGAUUUCAUUAAACUUCUCUGUUCUCAAUAUUUCAUUGAAUCAAGUGGCAGACGCCACGCUAUGGCAUCCUAGGACUCAAGAGACAGUAGGCAUGUAGGACUGCAGGAAAGCGACUGAAAAUAUGUUGUGUUCUUUUGCUCCUCUUCGUCAACUAAUAAUUUUUAAAACGGAUAAUCAUUCGAUUUUAUUU